AAAGAUUAAGCCAUGCAUGUCUAAGCAUGAACGAAUUUAAAGUGAAGCCGCGAAAAGCUCAUUACAACAGCCGUUGUUUCUUGGAUCUCCGCAAUAACAUGGAUAACUGUGGUAAUUCUAGAGCUAAUACACGCAAUCGAGACUCGACCUCACGGGACAGUCGCAUUUAUUAGUCCAAAACCAAUCGACUUUGUCGUACUUUGGUGAUUCUGAAUAACUACGCUGAUUGCAUGGUUUCAAACCGGCAACCAUUCCUUCAAGUGUCUGCCUUAUCAACUUUCGAUGGUAGUUUAUUUGACUACCAUGGUUUCGACGGGUAACGGAGAAUUAGGGUUCGACUCCGGAGAGGGAGCCUGAGAAACGGCUACCACUUCUAAGGAAGGCAGCAGGCGCGCAAAUUACCCACUCUCAGCACGAGGAGGUAGUGACGAAAAAUAACAAGAUGAUUCACUUAUGUGGGUUAUCAUUGGAAUGAGAACAAUCUAAACCUUUUAACGAGGACCUAGCGGAGGGCAAGUCUGGUGCCAGCAGCCGCGGUAAUUCCAGCUCCGCCAGUGUAUAUCUAUGCUGUUGCGGUUAAAAAGCUCGUAGUUGGAUCUUCGUGUAUGAAUCUGGUCCUCCUAAGGGAGUGCACUGGCGUUCUGCACUGAAUCGUUGGUUUUCCCCUCAUGGCCUUCAUCGGCUGUGUUGGGUGGCUAACAUUUUUACUUUGAAAAAAUUAGAGUGCUUAAAACAAGCGUUUGCUUGAAUAUUCUCGCAUGGAAUAAUGGAAUAGGACCUUGAUUCUAUUUUGUUGGUUUUCGGAAAACGAGGUAAUGAUUAAGAGGGACGGACGGGGGCAUUCGUAUUUCGACGUUAGAGGUGAAAUUCUUGGAUCGUCGAAAGACGCACUACUGCGAAAGCAUUUGCCAAGAAUGUUUUCAUUAAUCAAGAACGAAAGUUAGAGGUUCGAAGGCGAUCAGAUACCGCCCUAGUUCUAACCGUAAACGAUGUUAACUAGCGACUCGCAGGUGUUACUUUAACGGCCCUGCGAGGAGCUCCCGGGAAACCUAAGUGUUCGAAUUCCGGGGGAAGUAUGGUUGCAAAGCUGAAACUUAAAGGAAUUGACGGAAGGGCACCACCAGGAGUGGAGCUUGCGGCUUAAUUUGACUCAACGCGGGGAAACUCACUUGGUCAGGACACUGUAAGGAUUGACAGAUUGAAAGCUCUUUCUUGAUUCGGUGGAUGGUGGUGCAUGGCCGUUCUUAGUUGGUGGAGUGAUUUGUCUGGUUAAUUCCGAUAACGAGCGAGA
rnacentral:rRNA from 1 species